GUCCUCGUAGCUCAGCUGGAUAGAGCGUUGGCCUCCGGAGCCAAAGGUCGGAGGUUCAAAUCCUCCCGAGGACG
rnacentral:tRNA from 1 species